UCAGCUAUUGUUUUGUAUUUCUCCAGACAGCUAUUGCUCUUUAGUCUAAGCCACUCACAACAUCUGCUUUAUCCAUUUCCAUCUUUGGUCCAAAUUCUUUACCAUGCAUUAAAAAUGUCUGAGCAUCAAUAUAUGAAAAAUGAUGUCUAAACUUUCAGUAUUACUGGCACGGAUUCUACUUGCAAAAGAGGUAAUGACAAAGUCUCAUAAAAUACUGUUUUCUUCCCACACCAAUACUGAUUUUUAUAUAUGAUUUUUAUAUAUAUUUAUAUAUUUUUAUAUAUCUUUUACAUGACCGUUAAAAUUUUUUUCAUUUCCUCUCCCAUUCUGUCUUCUCCCAGAUCGAUAUAUUUCCGUACUAGAAUCUUCAGAAACAGAUGAAAAUACCUUGCUAAGACUGGUAUGAUGAGAAGGCUGAGCUAGGAAAUAUAGUACUGCAUGACUGAAUAAAUUCUAACCACUUCAAAAUUAUUUGUAUGGGUACUCAUAGCCAUUGGAGAGAAAGAAGAGUGCAGCUGCCAUUAAAAUUCCUAUUAAUCUGCAGGAAACUACAUAAAAGCCAUUGGGUGCAAUCAUUUCCUAGAUGCCAGCAGCAUGGACUUGUAUAUUAUAAUUAGUCAGAAAUGAAGGAUAACAAAGUUCUUCUAGUUAAGUGAAGAGAUCUUUAAUUAAGAACACAUGUUCUGUGACAACAUCUACUGACAAAGAAAGAUAUAUAUUGGAAAUUAAUAUUUUUAAAAAGUAAAUAGAGAGUUAUCCCCUUCUGUUGGUGAUAAUACAGGUAAAUAGGAUUCUGGACCAUGUUCCAGUGUUCUGGUCAGAAUGCAUUUUUUGUGCUAACUUCUAAACAGUCUGUUCUUCAAGUAAGCUGUUGUAUAACUUACAAAUAAAUGGUGUCACUCACAAGUAAUUUGAAUAAAUUUUAUUCUGGCGUGUCCUUCCACACUUCCAUGUAAGGUUUCUC
rnacentral:lncRNA from 1 species